CCUACGGGAGGCAGCAGUGGGGAAUAUUGGACAAUGGGGGGAACCCUGAUCCAGCCAUGCCGCGUGUGUGAAGAAGGCCUUAUGGUUGUAAAGCACUUUAAGCGAGGAGGAGGCUCUCUUGGUUAAUACCCAAGAAGAGUGGACGUUACUCGCAAAAUAAGCACCGGCUACCUCUGUGCCAGCAGCCGCGGUAAU
rnacentral:rRNA from 1 species